AUAUUGCACAAUGGGGGAAACCCUGAUGCAGCGACGCCGCGUGAGUGAUGAAGUAUUUCGGUAUGUAAAGCUCUAUCAGCAGGGAAGAAAAUGACGGUACCUGACUAAGAAGCCCCGGCUAACUACGUUCCAGCAGCCGCGGUAAUACGUAGGGGGCAAGCGUUAUCCGGAUUUACUGGGUGUAAAGGGAGCGUAGACGGCUGUGCAAGUCUGGAGUGAAAACCCGGGGCUCAACCCCGGGAUUGCUUUGGAAACUGUGUAGCUGGAGUACCGGAGAGGCAAGUGGAAUUCCUAGUGUAGCGGUGAAAUGCGUAGAUAUUAGGAGGAACACCAGUGGCGAAGGCGGCUUGCUGGACGGUAACUGACGUUGAGGCUCGAAAGCGUGGGGAGCAAACA
rnacentral:rRNA from 1 species